UUGAAGAGUUUGAUCAUGGCUCAGAUUGAACGCUGGCGGCAGGCCUAACACAUGCAAGUCGAGCGGUAGCACAGAGAGCUUGCUCUCGGGUGACGAGCGGCGGACGGGUGAGUAAUGUCUGGGAAACUGCCUGAUGGAGGGGGAUAACUACUGGAAACGGUAGCUAAUACCGCAUAACGUCGCAAGACCAAAGUGGGGGACCUUCGGGCCUCAUGCCAUCAGAUGUGCCCAGAUGGGAUUAGCUAGUAGGUGGGGUAACGGCUCACCUAGGCGACGAUCCCUAGCUGGUCUGAGAGGAUGACCAGCCACACUGGAACUGAGACACGGUCCAGACUCCUACGGGAGGCAGCAGUGGGGAAUAUUGCACAAUGGGCGCAAGCCUGAUGCAGCCAUGCCGCGUGUGUGAAGAAGGCCUUCGGGUUGUAAAGCACUUUCAGCGGGGAGGAAGGCGAUAAGGUUAAUAACCUUGGCGAUUGACGUUACCCGCAGAAGAAGCACCGGCUAACUCCGUGCCAGCAGCCGCGGUAAUACGGAGGGUGCAAGCGUUAAUCGGAAUUACUGGGCGUAAAGCGCACGCAGGCGGUCUGUCAAGUCGGAUGUGAAAUCCCCGGGCUCAACCUGGGAACUGCAUUCGAAACUGGCAGGCUAGAGUCUUGUAGAGGGGGUAGAAUUCCAGGUGUAGCGGUGAAAUGCGUAGAGAUCUGGAGGAAUACCGGUGGCGAAGGCGGCCCCCUGGACAAAGACUGACGCUCAGGUGCGAAAGCGUGGGGAGCAAACAGGAUUAGAUACCCUGGUAGUCCACGCCGUAAACGAUGUCGAUUUGGAGGUUGUGCCCUUGAGGCGUGGCUUCCGGAGCUAACGCGUUAAAUCGACCGCCUGGGGAGUACGGCCGCAAGGUUAAAACUCAAAUGAAUUGACGGGGGCCCGCACAAGCGGUGGAGCAUGUGGUUUAAUUCGAUGCAACGCGAAGAACCUUACCUGGUCUUGACAUCCACAGAACUUUCCAGAGAUGGAUUGGUGCCUUCGGGAACUGUGAGACAGGUGCUGCAUGGCUGUCGUCAGCUCGUGUUGUGAAAUGUUGGGUUAAGUCCCGCAACGAGCGCAACCCUUAUCCUUUGUUGCCAGCGGUUCGGCCGGGAACUCAAAGGAGACUGCCAGUGAUAAACUGGAGGAAGGUGGGGAUGACGUCAAGUCAUCAUGGCCCUUACGACCAGGGCUACACACGUGCUACAAUGGCAUAUACAAAGAGAAGCGACCUCGCGAGAGCAAGCGGACCUCAUAAAGUAUGUCGUAGUCCGGAUUGGAGUCUGCAACUCGACUCCAUGAAGUCGGAAUCGCUAGUAAUCGUAGAUCAGAAUGCUACGGUGAAUACGUUCCCGGGCCUUGUACACACCGCCCGUCACACCAUGGGAGUGGGUUGCAAAAGAAGUAGGUAGCUUAACCUUCGGGAGGGCGCUUACCACUUUGUGAUUCAUGACUGGGGUGAAGUCGUAACAAGGUAACCGUAGGGGAACCUGCGGUUGGAUCACCUCCUU
rnacentral:rRNA from 1 species